UACAGGGGGUGCAAACGUUGCUCGGAAUUACUGGGCGUAAAGGGCUCGUAGGCGGCCAACUAAGUCAGACGUGAAAUCCCUCGGCUUAACCGGGGAACUGCGUCUGAUACUGGAUGGCUUGAGAUUGGGAGAGGGAUGCGGAAUUCCAGGUGUAGCGGUGAAAUGCGUAGAUAUCUGGAGGAACACCGGUGGCGAAGGCGGCAUCCUGGACCAACACUGACACUGAGGAGCGAAAGCCAGGGGAGCAAACGGG
rnacentral:rRNA from 1 species